AUGCAUAACACAUAUACCUUAUUUGUCUCCAACAAAGGCCAUAAGGAGCUGAUGCUAUAUCUUUUGAACCAUAACAAAAGAUACCAAACAUCUUUCUAUGUGGCCUAUUGCAACAACAACAACAAAAAAAAAAAGCAAGGUUAUCAUGUGUUUAUAGAAUUUCAAAUGCAGCUUUAUUUAGCAUUUGAGACAGCAAGUAUUGGAACAUUUCCAAUCAGAAGUAACAUUAAGUGGCCAUUGAUAUGA